UGACGAGUGGCGGACGGGUGAGUAAUGUCUGGGAAACUGCCUGAUGGAGGGGGAUAACUACUGGAAACGGUAGCUAAUACCGCAUAACGUCGCAAGACCAAAGAGGGGGACCUUCGGGCCUYUUGCCAUCGGAUGUGCCCAGAUGGGAUUAGYUAGUAGGUGGGGUAACGGCUCACCUAGGYGACGAUCCCUAGUUGGUCUGAGAGGAUGACCAGCCACACUGGAACUGAGACACGGUCCAGACUCCUACGGGAGGCAGCAGUGGGGAAUAUUGCACAAUGGGCGCAAGCCUGAUGCAGCCAUGCCGCGUGUAUGAAGAAGGCCUUCGGGUUGUAAAGUACUUUCAGCGGGGAGGAAGGCGAUAAGGUUAAUAACCUUGUCGAUUGACGUUACCCGCAGAAGAAGCACCGGCUAACUCCGUGCCAGCAGCCGCGGUAAUACGGAGGGUGCAAGCGUUAAUCGGAAUUACUGGGCGUAAAGCGCACGCAGGCGGUCUGUCAAGUCGGAUGUGAAAUCCCCGGGCUCAACCUGGGAACUGCAUUCGAAACUGGCAGGCUAGAGUCUUGUAGAGGGGGGUAGAAUUCCAGGUGUAGCGGUGAAAUGCGUAGAGAUCUGGAGGAAUACCGGUGGCGAAGGCGGCCCCCUGGACAAAAGACUGAC
rnacentral:rRNA from 1 species